AAGUAAUCAACUGCACGGAGGUUAUAUAAUUUGGUAAAAUAUCAACAUUGCUCCGCGAAUAAAUGACAACUUGGCUUGCCAUAUGUUCCCCUUACCAGGGAUGCUUCUUACUGAAAUGGGUUCAAAUCCAUACACAACUGUAUGACCAGUAGCAGUUUAAAGGAAUUCAUAUUUCCUCUAUUGGGCCCCGCCUCUCUGGCCCCUUAUGGGUCAGAGUCACCGUUUAUGCAAGAUCUAUUCCACUUACUCCAAGGAUGUUUCUGACUAGAUUGGGUUAAAAUCCAUUCAGUACUUUAUGUUAAGUUUCCCGUAUUGGACCUUACCCCUCUGGCACUAGGGGGUGUCAAUCACAAUUUAUGCAAAAACUGUUCCACUUCCCCUAAAGAUGUUUAUGACCAAAUUUGGUUCAAAUCCAUUCAGCACUUCAUGACAAGUAGCAAUUUGGGCCCCGUCUCUCUGGCCCCAGAGGAAUCAGAGUCACCAUUAAUGCAAAAUCUAUUACCCUUACCAUAAGGAUCUUUUGGCCAAAUUUACUUAAAAUCUAUUUAGUAUUUUAUGACUAGUAGCGAUUUUAAGCAAAUGUUGGCGAACGACGGACGACGAAUGCCGCACCAAGGCAUGAUUAGCUCACCGGUCCUUUGGGCCAAGUGAGCUAAAAACUGAAUUUGUAAAGGGAUUUCCAUUAUUUUGUGCUACACAGAUAUACAAGGUACAUGGAUUGACCCUUCAUACCAUAUUUUACGGAUAGAAAAAAUACAGAAAAUAGUAACUCAGAAUCGCUGAGACGACGUGGAAAUGUAGAUUUGUGUGGGGACCUUUGAAGUAGUACAAGGAGAAGAAGACCAGGUGUUCCGGAAUGGUAAGCUGUUUUGCUUUGUUGACAUUUAACAGCAUCCGUGCAAAUCUAGGUCAACAAGUAACCAUAGAAAAAUAUAGAUUUAUUUGCACAAAAAAUUCAUAGAAAUUCCACCAUCACCCUUUUAGAUGGUGAGCUGUUCAAGUUGCACUUCCCACGUCUCUAAACAAUGUUUUCAGUAUUUCUUGGGAGGCACUUUCUCAAAUUUGAUGACUACAUAGAUGGCCUUCUGUUCGUACGCAGAUGAGUUCUAUUUAUUUUUGAUUGACCAGGAAAUUAUCUCUCAUUAAGGUAUGGGCCUUUCUCAAAUUCCAUUUCUAUAUUUUCUGUUUCCAUUCUUAAUAGAAGUGCUGUUCAAAGAUUAAGUGACCCUUGCUGUUAAUAGGACGUUCAACAAAAACAAACCAAACCAAAAUCAAAGAUUAAGUGGACGUUGCUUUGAAUGAUUUUCUUUCUAGGGGAAAUACUAGUCCUAAUUUUAAAUGGUUCUACCAUUAGAAAUGAAAAUCCAGGCUUCAAAAUAUGAUCAGCACAAACUGAGACUAAACAAAUCAUUAUUUUUAUUAUUUUAUUUUUGAAACAAAUUACCUUAAUCUACCAUCCCUAACACAUCAAUGCCUUGUCUAUGCACAUACAUAUGGAUACAUGAAACAACCCCAAACUAUAAAGUAAUGUCACGAUCAUUUAAUAAAUAAUAUUGCAGUACAUUUUGCCCCCCGUUUAUCAACAUUCAUUAACUUAAUAUGUUCCAUGGGAAAACAUAAUUGGAUUUACGUUUUUUAUAAUGUUAAGGAGCUUCCCUUAAAUUCUGUUAUGCUUUUCUAUUGAAUAUUUUGAGUUAAGGAAAUAUUUUUACAAGUGCUUAACACAACUGCCAUACAGACAUCUCGUUUUAAACUCUUUGAGAACCCAGAUGUAGUUAUUAAUGUCAUCGACACAUGUUAAAACACCAUACAUAGUAUAAUUCAAAGUGCAGUUAGUUUUAGCUUCAUGGGCGGCCCAGUUUUGUUGAUUUUGUCGUGAGCUUGAUCACUUGACCCUAUUCAUCUAGAGGUAAAA